rnacentral:rRNA from 1 species
UACGGAGGGGGUUAGCGUUGUUCGGAAUUACUGGGCGUAAAGGGAGCGCAGGCGGAUAGGUCAGUUUAAAGUGGAAUCCCAGGGCUCAACCCUGGACGUGCUUUGGAUACUGCCUAUCUUGAGUUCGUGAGAGGAAAGUGGAAUUCAGGGUGUAGCGGUGAAAUGCUUAGAUAUCCUGAGGAACACCAGUGGCGAAAAGC